rnacentral:tRNA from 2 species
GCAGGAAGUAGUUUAAGUAGAAUG